UACGGGGGGAGCAAGCGUUGUUCGGAUUUACUGGGCGUAAAGGGCGCGUAGGUGGUCAGCACGAAGUCAGUUGUGAAAUCUCCGGGCUUAACUCGGAAAGGUCAACUGAUACUGUGCGACUAGAGUGCAGAAGGGGCAACUGGAAUUCUCGGUGUAGCGGUGAAAUGCGUAGAUAUCGAGAGGAACACCUGCGGCGAAGGCGGGUUGCUGGGCUGACACUGACGCUGAUGCGCGAAAGCCA
rnacentral:rRNA from 1 species